rnacentral:rRNA from 1 species
GACGAACGCUGGCGGCGUGCUUAACACAUGCAAGUCGAACGGGAUCCGGGCUUUCGGGUUUGGUGAGAGUGGCGAACGGGUGAGUAACACGUGAGUAACCUGCCCCCUUCUUUGGGAUAACGUCGGGAAAUCGGCGCUAAUACUGGAUAUUCUUGCUGCAUCGCAUGGUGGGGUUUGGAAAGGGUUUCUGGUGGGGGAUGGGCUCGCGGCCUAUCAGCUUGUUGGUGGGGUGAUGGCCUACCAAGGCUUUGACGGGUAGCCGGCCUGAGAGGGUGUCCGGCCACACUGGGACUGGGACACGGCCCAGACUCCUACGGGAGGCAGCAGUGGGGAAUAUUGCACAAUGGGCGCAAGCCUGAUGCAGCGACGCCGCGUGAGGGAUGACGGCCUUCGGGUUGUAAACCUCUUUCAGUAUGGAACAAGGAUCCUUCUUUUGGGGGGUUUGAGGGUACGUGCAGAAGAAGCGCCGGCUAACUACGUG